GCGCAAGAGAGGCAGCAUGUGUCUCUGGCGCUGUAGAAACAGUGGUGGACAGGGGUGCAGGGUACAGCAAGGUGGGCAAAUGGAGAGGUCAGCGGCUCCGAUAAAAAUAAAACCAGAAUCGCCCAGAUGUGUUCGCCUUGAAGUGAAAAGGGCAAACGAGGCAUGAUCCAUCUUCCUUGUCUGGACAAGCUUAGUCUGGCCUCCUCCUCCUGCUGAAGCAGGCCUAAGGUAUGUGCCAGGAAUCCUUGUCAUAAACUAAUUAUCACAUUCCAGAAUGUGUGGAGACUGCCUUUGGGCCUUUAGAAAGCUCUACUCCGACCCUCGACCCUCCCUGGUUGUGGCCCUCACCACAGGGUGAGGAAACUGUGGGGUCACAGGGAUGUGCUCUUCCAGAAUUAUCUCGUCUAGACCACACUGGAAAACCUGGGGCUGCCUUGGAAUUCUUUGCCCAUGUGCCCCAAUCCCUCUUUCAAGGUCAGCUUUGUCCCCAUUCCCAUCCUCCUCCCAGGAGCUCACUGUGUCACUACUAUGUCCAUUUCUUAGGCCACGGGGAGCGUGUUUGCAGAGGGUUGGAUGGAUCAGCAGCAAGGUCCACACUUGUAA